rnacentral:rRNA from 1 species
GACGAACGCUGGCGGCGUGCCUAAUACAUGCAAGUAGAACGCUGAAGAGAGGAGCUUGCUCUUCUUGGAUGAGUUGCGAACGGGUGAGUAACGCGUAGGUAACCUGCCUGGUAGCGGGGGAUAACUAUUGGAAACGAUAGCUAAUACAGCAUAAAAUUGAUUAUUGCAUGAUAAUUAAUUGAAAGAUGCAACUGCAUCACUACCAGAUGGACCUGCGUUGUAUUCGCUAGUUGGUGAGGUAACGGCUCACCAAGGCGACGAUACAUAGCCGACCUGAGAGGGGGAGCGGCCAAACUGGGACGGGGACACGGCCCAGACCCCUGCGGGAGGCAGCAGUAGGGAAUCUUCGGCAAUGGGGGGAACCCUGACCGAGCAACGCCGCGUGAGUGAAGAAGGUUUUCGGAUCGUAAAGCUCUGUUGUAAGAGAAGAACGGGUGUGAGAGUGGAAAGUUCACACUGUGACGGUAUCUGACCAGAAAGGGACGGCUAACUACGUG